AUUGAAUGCUGGCGGCAGGCUUAACACAUGCAAGUCGAGCGAGCGGCGGACGGGUGAGUAAUGUCUGGGAAACUGCCUGAUGGAGGGGGAUAACUACUGGAAACGGUAGCUAAUACCGCAUACCAUCAGAUGUGCCCAGAUGGGAUUAGCUAGUAGGUGGGGUAAUGGCUCACCUAGGCGACGAUCCCUAGCUGGUCUGAGAGGAUGACCCACCACACUGGGACUGAAACACGGUCCAGAAUCCUAACGGAGGACGCAGGGGGGAAAAUUGCACAAUGGGCGCAAGCCUGAUGCAGCCAUUCCGCGUGUGGGAAGAAGGCCUUCGGGUUGUAAAACACUUUCAACGAGGAGGCCUUACUCGCAGAAGAAGCACCGGCUAACUCCGUGCCAGCAGCCGCGGCAAUUC
rnacentral:rRNA from 1 species